UGGUGACUAUAGCAAGGAGGUCACACCUGUUCCCAUGCCGAACACAGAAGUUAAGCUCCUUAGCGUCGAUGGUAGUCGACCGCAAGGUCUCUUUUUUUAUGUC
rnacentral:rRNA from 1 species